UACGUAGGGUGCGAGCGUUGUCCGGAAUUAUUGGGCGUAAAGAGCUUGUAGGCGGUUUGUCGCGUCUGCUGUGAAAAUCCGGGGCUCAACCCCGGACUUGCAGUGGGUACGGGCAGACUAGAGUGUGGUAGGGGAGACUGGAAUUCCUGGUGUAGCGGUGAAAUGCGCAGAUAUCAGGAGGAACACCGGUGGCGAAGGCGGGUCUCUGGGCCGUAACUGACGCUGAGGAGCGAAGGCAUGGGGAGCGAACAGG
rnacentral:rRNA from 1 species